ACUAUCUUGUGUUUGUAUGCUCCAAGUAUGAUGAUAUUAGAAAAGAUUUGCACAUGAAAUUGAAUGAAGUUGGAGCAAGUAGUCCGGAUUGUGUGUGGAGCUGGUUACGAAAAGAGGAAUUAAGUACUUUGAGAGUCGUUUAUGAGUUUCUUAUGAAAACUGGAAGAAUUAUAUAAUUGGCAAGCGCAGCGUAUAUUAAAACAGAGGCGAGAUGUAUAUAGCGACGAUGUUCUUUUUCGCAUUCGUAUUUUCAUUAAAAUAUACAAUACAUUAAAAAACUGUCAACUCGAAAUGUAUGAAACAUUUAUAACUCUGGUACGUCGAUCCAGUGAUACCAGGUGUAAAUACGGAUAAAUAUUGGCAAUAUAAAAACGCAGGUAGUUUAGAUACAUAUUAAACAAGAAUUUCUAUAGAGGAGAAUUUAGAUUUUUUAUUACAAUAUUUAGCAAAAAGAAAUUAAAACCAUGGCUGGUACUAUAAGACAACUAGAGGAACGUCAACUUCCUGCAGAAGUAACGAUAAUGCUAUGGUCACCAAAAAUGGAUCUUUUAGCAAUUAGUAAUGUGAAAGGUGAAGUUGUCCUUCAUAGGCUCACGUGGCAAAGAGUAUGGUUACUGAGUCCACCGGAUGAAUCCGAUGUCAACGCACAUUUAGCAUGGAGACCAGAUGGAAAGCUUCUCGCAGUGUCCUAUGAGAUCUCAAACUUGCUCUAUCUCAUCGAUAUCGAAACUAAAAAUGUCAUUCAUAAAACAAAAUUGCCGACAGGCGAUACAAUUGCGUGCAUCAAGUGGUUGUCGCUGUCCAAUAUGGAACACGAAAGUACAUUGACGAGUGAUAGGGCUAAUAUACCCACUGGUGAUUACUUGCCAGCCCUGCCCAGUUUAAUUAGAAGUUACAGCACAGAACCGGAGCGCAAGGAAUUCCUGUCCAAUACCUUAGACAUGCUUUUUAUUGGUCAAAAAAAUGGUGUAGUACUGAUGUACAUCUUUGGUAUGUUCUAUUGUAGCACUAUAAAUGUAGGCCAUGGACCAAUUUUACAGAUCACAGGUGGAUCUGGUGAUCCAAUAUGGAUCACGUGGAAGGAUAAUGAUUGUAUCAAAAUAACCAGAGUAUCUUGUUCAUUGUUCGAAAAAAACACGGCAUUCCUCAAGGUGGCGCAGAUUCAAGCCAACGUAGAAUGUUUGAAGGACUACCUCUCACGUACCUUAAUGGCUACUUCUGAAGCCUGGGAAACGAUACUUCUUGAAAUGGAUGAGAAACUCACGCGAUAUGCGGAAGCAAAUCCACCCGGUGGAAUGGCUGCAGAUUUCUUGGAAUUACUGAUGAUCGGCAUACCUUCAAAGAACUUGGAAAAUUUUCUACUUCGGGAUCUCACUGAGAAGGGCUUGAAGAAAUUUGGGCAUAGUAUUGAAAUGUGUUACAGUAACAUACAGAAACUAGUCUCGAAAAAUUUAACUAGCGUUGGUAUGGCUCUAAUUUAUCAAUUAGCCGAGUUGAGAGGAUUGAGUAGAGUGGGCGGCACGUAUGAGGCAUUGGGGCUACAUGACGAGACACUUGUAACUAACGCCAUUAAUGAGUCCGAGGCUUUCCUGGCUAAAUUAUAUGAGAUCGAGCAAGUUAUAGACCAAAGUAUGCGCAAUUAUAAGGCGUUCUUUCGAUGGUUAUACGUAGCUAUUCUUCAACUGACGGAUGAAAGAGUACCAUCAGAAGUGAGUCGCGUAAGUCAGCAGGAAUUAAUGUUUAUUGCUGAAUUUCUAAAUGGCUUCGACAAGACUGUGCCAACGGUAGAUAGCAGAGCAGCUGUAAAUCUAGAAAAAUUAGGGCAAUAUCUGCGCCAUGAGAAUUUGCAGACUCGUUUGACUCCGGAGGGAAGUGAAUGGGCGGCUAUGCUCAAUACGAAUAAUUGCCUGCACAAUUACGCACACGUAAUAAAGCAGGAUUUUAACUUGUCCUUACUGCAGUCCUAUGCGAAAUUGAUCACCGCGAUAGAGAAUGUCUUUGCAAAAGCGUAUCAGGGCCUGCUCGAUCACUUUGUAAUGAUCUCGACUUCGUUACCAUCAUACGCAUCCCUCGUAUGUUCGCAAAUUGUAGCGAGUGAACGAAGUCUUCUGCUAGCCAUGAGUAAUACCGAUAGCAAAUUUCUGAAGCUUUGCAACAUCGAAUACGUAUCUACGGAAUCUACCUUCCUCAGUUCAAAAGUGAUCACGAUAAAUUUAGAUCACAAACAAGGAGAACACCCAAGAGAAAGCUGCGAUAUCACAAUAGCGGAUUUGCAAUUUUAUUCACAAGAUUAUCUCAGUUUACUUACGUUAAACAAACAAAUUCGUACAUCGUCGCUGAUACAAGUGCCAUUGCGUGAUAUACCGAUCGUUGAGUACCGAGAUGACAAUACGGCAGUAGUUUAUUUAACCGAUGUCAUUGGUGGGACGUGGCCGAGACCGUUUCAAGGAAUAUCCGCUAGACGAUUAGCGGUCAGUGGUCCCCGAAAAGUAGCUGCCAUUCUGAAUGAAAAUAAUAGGAAAAUUCGAUUACUUGAGACUGAAGCCGAACCAGAGGAUGAGGAAGACGAUGACGAAGAGGAAGCACGACUUUUGGAUAAUAUGAUGGAUACCACGCCUAGCGUAAACUUCUCUACGGAAAUAACGAGGAGCAACUUGCAAGAAUACUAUUAAUACAGUAAAGACUUAAAGCAAUACAGAUAGGAGAUAUAUUUCAGUCUUAUAAAUGUUUCAUAAAUAACUCAUGGAAUGAAAAUGAAUGGAAAGUGAAAAUGCGACACCCAACGUGUUAAACACAAUCUGAUCUAAAAGUAAAAUCUAAGAACCUAUUGCAUUGCCUGUUCAUUGUGCAUUUGUUUAAAUACUUUGGGAAAAUCAAUGUCGAGGGCAGUAUUAUCGAUCCCAACAUUUUCGAUGCCUGACGAAACACCAGGUGUAUUAUUCGACGUAUAACGUGCUGGAGAACUUUCUCUGGACUCUUCCAAAUCUUUAUCCUUGUACAAAUUAGGACAGGAGUUACCUCAAAAUCAGAUUCCCAGACUUGUUCCCAAUCACUUUUAACUAUUAAUUCAAUGGAAUGGAUUCUGAGUUGAGAAUCGUCGAGUAAGCCUCGAGAAACACACUUGUAAAAUCCAGAUUCCGCCGUGGAUACGCCCUAUAAAAAGAUCAUUAAUGAUUUCCUGGGCCAAUAACAUCAUUAUUCCCAAAUUGCCAAAACAUAAAACGGUGAUGUUCGUCAAUGCUUAAGCAGGGCAGUUCAGCCAAGUGACCAGCCGUCACUUCUUUUACUGUUACUAUAUCGCUUGCAGUUUCAGAC